rnacentral:lncRNA from 1 species
UUUCCUAAUGCCACCUUCCUUAGGUAAGAAAAUGCCUUUUGAGCAAACAUUGAAUAAAAAGAAGCAAACGAUAAUCUUCUUCUCAUACAGCUGAGAAGAAGAAGAAGAAGAAGAGACAAUGUUCAACCUAAUAAGGCAUGCAAGAGAGGAGCAAAGCAAUGCUAGCUGAUCAGAAAGAGAUGUAAAGCGGCUUCUGUCGCAGGAGAGAUGGUGCCUACCGCCUAGCUCUUGCUUGCUCGUUUGUGCAUUAAUGUCAUCACAGCAAUAUGUAAUUAAGCAUCAUCUCUCCUGGACUGAAGCCCAUCAUUAUCUUUCAGUAGUACUAUCGUUGAGAAAGAGGUACGUUGCCAUUUUGUUUUGCUUUAAUCAUUUUAUUUAUUUUAUUUAUCUGUUCUAUAUGUUGAAUUCAUGCAUGGUCUAUAGGGAAGACGAUAUAUUAGAAUUUGUUUUGUAAAGCUAUAGUAAGUUAGAAUUUAUGGUGUCAGUGUGAUGGGGAUUGAAUCUCUAUCAAGUUAAUCUGGCUUAAAUUUUUAUAAUUUCAGUGCGUAACUACGAAGAUAAAUAAUUUAGCAAGGAAAUAAAAAAGAAGAUUUUUAAUCCUAUUCCCAUCAAGAUCCGGGCCCAAAUAUGUUUAAAUCAUAAUAAAAUUGAUAUAACUAAUUAACAAGUCGCUUAUUUUAUAAGAAUCAGUAAAGACUUUUUUUUACUCUAUAUAUAAAAUUAUAAAUAAUUGUAGAAACGAACGAUAUGUAGUUUAGGUCUCAAAGCAUCAGAUGACAUGAUGUAGAAGUAGAAAAAGCAACCGACCUCAAGUCAUCUUAAAGAAGAAAAAUAGACGACAAGUACUCCUAUAGAGUAUGUGCUGCGUACUUUGUAUGACUAGUUGUUUUCUCUAUAUUGACAAUACGAUGUGUUGUACUCAAAAACCAUAAUCAAACGACAUAUCCCUGUAGUACCUAACUUCAUUAAAUUCAUGAUUUAAAUGUUAUCAUAUAAGAAAGAACAAAACUCUAAGCUGCAACCUUUUUGAGAGUCUAGUGUCUAAGCUAAAUUACUAACACAAAUGGGAAUUGAAAAGUAGAAACCAAUUCAUUGUGGAUCCACUAUACAUUUAAUCUUUUUUCACUAAGCAUCUAUACAUGAGUUUUUAUUCUUUUAUCCUUAGGGUCUAUUUGGUAUUGAUGUUUUAUAGUUUUUAAACCAAAUUUGCUAUGAAAAAAAAAAAAAUUUAUAACUGGAAUAUAAAACUAUAUUGUGUUUAGUAAAUAUGAUAUCAAACUAACUAAAAGAAAUAGUAAAGUUAUUAAAAAAAUUUCUUCAAAUAACUAUUAGAUGAAAUCAAUUUGACUUAAAAGUUAUAUUAUAAAUAUUUAUUAAAUGAUUUGUUGUUAUACUUUUAAGUCUCAACUGUUCUACAACGCUACCAAGCAGACCUUGAAGCUAUAUCUAUUAAGCCGCACCUGCCCUCCCAUCUCACUCAUUCCCAUUAAUUUGACAUCUCGCUAUUUGUUUUAAAUUACAAUAAGAGGUGUGGAUUCUCACACACUACGGAGACAUAAAUGCACACACAGUCAUAAUAGUAUCUAGGAAAAUACAUUGACCCCACGCAAAUUUAUCAAAAGGAGAUCUAUUUUGGGUCACCAGCCACAAUUAGUGCAAGGAGGCCUUUUGUGACAGUCUAAUACGAAUUUAAAGAAAUUCAUCUGAAAGUAGCGUGUGGGCCGUAUAGCUCGAAGCACAGCUGUACUUUCAGUGGGUUCAUUUCACAUGGGCUAACUCAAAAAUCUACUGGGCUUUUCAACUUAAUGAUUCCCUUCCUUCACUUGCAUGCACAUGUCUAUCUCUGACUCUCUCUGUACGGGUGUUGCUGUAUUUAAAUGAUAAUGACAUUAUUAUGGUCUGUAAUCGGUAUGGUAUUGGUGGACUACUGGUGUAAAUAAGCGACCAAACAGCUUAAGCGGACUCCUGUCCUGUCAUGACUUAUAGACGAUGAAUCCUCAGCAAAUGAUACGGUAGAUCGCCCGUUAGAAUUGAUAAUAAGAAUUUGCAUAUGAGAGAACAAAACACAUAAUCACUUAACAAUGGCCUACUCAUUUAUAUUGAAACUACAAAUCAUAUAUCAUAAACUAAUAGCAAGGCAACAUAAUCAAUAUGAUAUUUUUUCCGCUCCUGAUCAGGAAUCAAGGAAUCAAAUCACCAUACCACAUUGUAUUUGGAGCAAAUGGUCGUUCUCUUAAAUACAAAGGCACAUAGACUAUAGAACCAAUAUUUCAUGUCGUUUUCUUUUUACUAACAUUAACUCGGCCGAAUGUUGUUGUUCCAUUGCAUCCUCAAAUCCUGAACAAGCUUUGUUGUUUGGUGUAGAAGUUGAUCAUGGAAAAUGUAGAAACACGCAAAAAGCAAUGAGGCUGAAUACGAAGAAUAAUAAGUUCAGUUGCGUAUACCGGAAUAUUCUGGCCGGUAAGUAAUGCGUUCCGUAGCUGACAUCCUUUGAUUAAAUCCAUCACAUUUGUGUAAUGCUAUAAAACAGAGUUAUGCAACUCAACAAAUUGGAGAGGUCAUCUAUAGAUUCACCAUUCUUUCUAUCACCUACACAAGGAAAAUUGGUUACAUGAUCAUAUCGUCUUCUAUCUGUUGUUGUAGACUAACCCAAUUAAUUUGGGAAGCUCCUGGUAUUGCGGGUUUUUUUUCUAGUUAUUUGCAUUGCCCUGGCCGGAAUUUCUCCUUCGAUAACAGAGAGGUGAUUAAAGAUCCAAGUCUUUUAGC